rnacentral:lncRNA from 10 species
CGUCUGCCCCCUCCCCAUUCAGGCACAAGGCAGAGGAGCCCAGGCUAAACUACUGAAUAAUGAGAGAACAUGUGAAAGGAGAACGGCCACAUGGAGAAAACUAAGGCACCCCAACGAACAGCCAGUACCAACACUCCAGCCACGUGACCAGGGCCACCUGGGACCCGCCAGCCCCAGUCACGCAGGCCCAGCUGACACCACAUGGAGCAGAGAUGAGCCAUCCCCACCAAGCCCUGACCCACAGAAUCAUGAACAAUAAAUAAAAGAGCAGCCCAGGCAUCACUU